rnacentral:rRNA from 1 species
GAACGGGUGAGUAACGUGGGUGAUCUGCCCUGCACUUUGGGAUAACCUGGGAAACUGGUAAUACCGAAUAGGACUACGCGAUGGUCGUGGUGGAAAGUUUUGCGGUGUGGGAUGGGCCCGCGGCCUAUCAGCUUGUUGGUGAGGUUACGGCUCACCAGGCGACGACGGGUAGCCGGCCUGAGAGGGUGACCGGCCACACUGGGACUGAGAUACGGCCCAGACUCCUACGGGAGGCAGCAGUGGGGAAUAUUGCACAAUGGGCGCAAGCCUGAUGCAGCGACGCCGCGUGAGGGAUGACGGCCUUCGGGUUGUAAACCUCUUUCGCCAGGGACGAAGGACGGUACCUGGAGAAGAAGGACCGGCC